rnacentral:lncRNA from 1 species
AUGACAUGGCUGGGUCCCGUGCCAAACUUUCUGAAGACUGCUAUCGUGAUCAAACUGAAGGAGAUCUUUGAAAGCUGCUCCGAGGUUGCUCUGAUCCUGGAGCUGGGGACGGGACAAGAGCUGUGUGACAGACGGGACGCUGCCCUUCUCGUCAGCAUCGUUGGCCUCAUCAGUAAAACCACAUGGCUUCAAAAGGCCCUUCAAAUCCAUCUGCCAGUGGCUUGUCCUCAACCCUGGUCCCCAGCUAAUGUGAAUCCCCCAGUUACCUCCUAAAUCCCUUCAUGGAGAAACCUGCAGGCAAGUGAGCAUCAUAGACGAAGUGAGAGACAUCAGGUUUAAAACUCUGGCCCUACCACUAAUUUGCUAUGUGAUCUUGGACAAUUUUCACCUUCUUGGACCUCAGUUUCAUCCUCUGUCAAAUGGGGAGAAUAAUCCUUGCAUAUGAGAAAGCACAGAACUUAGUCUAAGCGGAAUAAUGGAUAGACUGCUGGACAUUGGGUCUGGAAAAACUGAGUUCAAGUCCUGUCUGGUACUUUUAACCCUGGCAAGGCCAUACAUGGGUGUGACCCUCUCUGUCUCUCUGUGAUCUCCUCAGCUCCCAUCAGUUCCAUUAUCAUUUCUAAUCAGAUUACCCACAAAUCGACAAAGACCCUCCACUCACUCUUGUCCUUCCCUCCCAUAUCAUCCACCCUGCCUUAGGUCUCUACCUAGAGGUCCCCCAGGCCUCACACGCCCACCAGCUCCAAAACAGAACUCACCGCCUUCCUUAAACGCUCCUUAUAAAAGCCAACCAUGUCCUCCCAAACACCGUUUCUUUCUUCCCUAUGUCUGUGCCUUGUACAUAGUAGGCUCCUAAUAAAUGUUUGUUAUAUUGAAUCUUCA